rnacentral:rRNA from 1 species
CCUACGGGUGGCAGCAGUGGGGAAUAUUGGGCAAUGGGCGCAAGCCUGACCCAGCAACGCCGCGUGAAGGAAGAAGGCUUUCGGGUUGUACACUUCUUUUCUCAGGGACGAAGCAAGUGACGGUACCUGAGGAAUAAGCCACGGCUAACUACGUGCCAGCAGCCGCGGUAAUACGUAGGUGGCAAGCGGUAUCCGGCUUUACUGGGUGUAAAGGGCGUGUAGGCGGGACUGCAAGUCAGAUGUGAAAACCACGGGCUCAACCUGUGGCCUGCAUUUGAAACUGUAGUGCUUGAGUACUGGAGAGGCAGACGGAAUUCCUAGUGUAGCGGUGAAAGGCGUAGAUAUUAGGAGGAACACCAGUGGCGAAGGCGGUCUGCGGGACAGCAACUGACGCUGAGGCGCGAAAGCGUGGGGAGCAAACAGGAUUAGAUACCCCUGUAGGC